rnacentral:rRNA from 1 species
UACGAAGGGGGCUAGCGUUGCUUGGAAUUACUGGGCGUAAAGCGCACGUAGGCGGCUCUUUAAGUCGGGGGUGAAAUCCUGGAGCUCAACUCCAGAACUGCCUUCGAUACUGUAGAGCUUGAGUUCGGGAGAGGUGAGUGGAACUGCGAGUGUAGAGGUGAAAUUCGUAGAUAUUCGCAAGAACACCAGUGGCGAAGGCGGCUCACUGGCCCGAUACUGACGCUGAGGUGCGAAAGCGUGGGGAGCAAACAGG